GAUGAACGCUGGCGGCGUGCCUAAUACAUGCAAGUCGAGCGAACAGACGAGGAGCUUGCUCCUCUGACGUUAGCGGCGGACGGGUGAGUAACACGUGGAUAACCUACCUAUAAGACUGGGAUAACUUCGGGAAACCGGAGCUAAUACCGGAUAAUAUAUUGAACCGCAUGGUUCAAUAGUGAAAGACGGUUUUGCUGUCACUUAUAGAUGGAUCCGCGCCGCAUUAGCUAGUUGGUAAGGUAACGGCUUACCAAGGCGACGAUGCGUAGCCGACCUGAGAGGGUGAUCGGCCACACUGGAACUGAGACACGGUCCAGACUCCUACGGGAGGCAGCAGUAGGGAAUCUUCCGCAAUGGGCGAAAGCCUGACGGAGCAACGCCGCGUGAGUGAUGAAGGUCUUCGGAUCGUAAAACUCUGUUAUAGGGAAGAACAAAUGUGUAAGUAACUAUGCACGUCUUGACGGUACCUAAUCAGAAAGCCACGGCUAACUACGUG
rnacentral:rRNA from 1 species